GUGAAUCAUCAAAUUUUUGAACGCAAAUUGCACUUUCUGGUAUUCCGGAGAGUAUGCCUGUUUGAGGGUCAGUUAAUUAACAAUCGGUGUUGUUGCUGCUUUUCGUAGUGACGCGUCGGAAGUGAUUUGUGUUACCUUAGGUUUAGGUACUUAAAAUUUUACAUGAUUGUCGAAGGUAUUUAAAUUUCGUACGUACGUAUGUGAUAUAGACUAC
rnacentral:misc_RNA from 1 species